rnacentral:rRNA from 1 species
GUCUUUUUGUUUUAAAUWUAAAGUUUGACCUGCCCMUUGAAUAAUUUUAAAAGGCUGCAGUAUUUUGACUGUACAAAGGUAGCAUAGUCAUUAGUUUUUUAAUUGAAAACUUGUAUGAAGGGUUGAAUGAAAAAUUAACUUUUUUAAAAAAAAAAAUGAAUUUUACUUUUUAAUUAAAAGGUUAAAAUUUUUUUAAAAGACGAGAAGACCCUAUAGAGUUUUAUAUUUAAAAAUAUAUUUUUAAAAAAGUUUAUUAUAAAUUUUAUAUUUAAAAGUAUUUUGUUGGGGUGACAAUAAAAUUUAAUUAACUUUUAUUAAUAAAUAACAUUAGUAUAUGAUUUGUUGAUCCAAUAAUAUUGAUUAAAAAUUUAAAUUACCUUAGGGAUAACAGCGUAAUUUUUUUUUAAGUUCAUAUUAAUAAAAAAUUUUGCGACCUCGAUGUUGGAUUAAGAUUUAAGUUUAGGUGCAGUAGUUUAAAAUUUAAGUCUGUUCGACUUUUAAAUUCUU